CAGCCGCCGCGGUAAUACCGGCGGCCCGAGUGGCGGCCACUAUUAUUGGGCCUAAAGCGUCCGUAGCCGGGCUGGUAAGUCCCCCGGGAAAUCUGGCGGCUUAACCGUCAGAAUUCCGGAGGAUACUCCCAGCCUAGGGAGCGGGAGAGGCCGAGGGUAUUCCCGGAGUAGGGGUGAAAUCCUAUAAUCCCGGGAGGACCACCUGUGGCGAAGGCGCUCGGCUGGAACGCGUCCGACGGUGAGGGACGAAGGCCAGGGGAGCAAACCGGAUUAGAUGCCCGGGUAGUCCUGGCUGUAAACGAUGCGGACUUUGUGUCGGACAAGCUAUGAGCUUGUCCGGUGCCGGAGGGAAACCGUUAAGUCCGCCGCCUGGGGAGUACGGCCGCAAGGCUGAAACUUAAAGGAAUUGGCGGG
rnacentral:rRNA from 1 species